UGCUGCCCCCAGAGAUCUGCAGUCUGGACCCACCCCCGGGGGCUUCCUCAGGAAGAGGCAGGGCGGAUAAGUGCGUGGAGCGAGUCCUCUCUUUUACCUUUCUGCAGGAGUGCACAUGUAUUUUACAGGCCCACUUAACAGGAGCAAUGCUUGAGGCAGACUCUGGAAAAGUAAACCUAAAAGAUACGCAUGCUGCUUUACUGCUCUGUCCAGUUCCUGCUACGAGAGUCUUGAUCCCAAAGGAGAAGUGCAGUCCUACCUGCCUGCCAAGCAGCUUUCCCGAGAAGCUUUGACUCCAUGGCCACUUUCACAUAAAUUUGAGCAAGAAGAAGCAUUUCAAAAGCAAUUGCACUCCUCUGCAUUCCACGAAAAUCAACAGCUGGGCAGAGGAGGGAGACCCAUGGGAGCAUCUCCAUGAAGAAAAGAUGAGUAAAACCCAGCUUUUACACAUUCCGUCCCAGUCGUUCACUAAUCAGCAUGGGCAUGGCCCUACCAUGCAGUACGUUAUUUUUGCUUAGUGCCGAUGUUAACAGGAGCUUGAGAGAGGAAGAGAGGCUAGAAAAGACAAAAGAGUCCAUCUCAUGAUAAGGUCAGCCAUGGCCAUAUUUUCAAUAUUCAUGACGUUUGUAAAGGUUGUUUACCGUAAAAAGGUGAAUGUGCUCCGUGUGUGUGUGUAUUUGAUGAGUUCAUUUUCAAGAUACUAAAAUGUUGAUACAUGCAGGAGGCCAGCUCCGUAUCUGUGUUUGCUGAAGUGCAUGCUGAAUUAGGUGCAAUUUUAGCUGCUGAAAAUUAUAUAUGUUAAGGCCUUCACCCUCCACUGUUUUAAUCAGUGCGAACAGAACCAAGUUCUGAGACUGAAGUCCUACAAAUUGUACCAUGUGUUUUUAGCUCCAGGUCUUCACAGGCGGUAGAGCCAACUCUAAACAUCUAGGAACAACUUGCAGGAGAGGCAACUGAGUACACAAAGUUUUCAGUUAUACCAAGCAGGCAGUAAGACUUGAUAGUGCAAGGUGAUAAGCAUUUUAAGUCCCAGCAAAGUAAGGAAGAGUUUAAAAGGGAGAGUCUUGCAUGACUGAGCCCGCUAGGAUGCUUGGCUCUUGUAGAGACCAAGUUCCCCUAUACUGAAUAUACACUUACUGUGGGAUGUUGUAAUCUAGUCUAGUCAAGUAUGUAUGUUAUGUAAUUUUCUUCCUUCUUUAACAUGAAAGUAGCUCAAAGACUUUCCAAAAGAAACCACAUUAGGAGAAUUUCAGGUUGCAGGAUUAUGCACUCACUUGCAAAAGAAUAUCAAGG
rnacentral:lncRNA from 1 species